UCGUGGGGCAGAGGCGAGGCUCCUAGCGCCCGGUUCCUGCUAGUUGUCACGCGUGUCCCCCGCCGAGCGCCGUUGCCCUCCAGCACCCCGCUGUCACCCGGGGCCCCUGCGCCGCACAGUGAAGCCGCCCGCGUCCCCGCCCUGCCCCACUUCUGUUAGUGGCGUCCUCAGCGGCCACCGCCGCGUCCCCGCCUCCGGGCUUGCGGGGGCCCCAUGUGGGCCGCGCGCCCCAGCUGCAUCCGCGCCGUCCCGCUAUGAGGUCUUAGGACACGCUCGGACGGCCACCAGGACCGUUCUUGAUGACCUCGCUGUCCUCCCGCGGUCGCUGUGGCCACGAAGCACGGAGCCAGUUUGAAGGCACCCAGCUGGCCAGCUCGGGCUGGUUUCUUCCCAGGCCUCUCUGGUUGGCUUGUCCAUGGCCCCUGUGUUAGGACCUGCUCUUGUCCUAACACCAGUCUGCUGCAUUAGGGCGACUCUAGUGACCUCUUGUUAAUUUCCUCCUUACGGCUUUGUCUCUGGAUAUGGUUGCAUGCUGAGACCGCGAAGUUAGGGCUCCAACGUAUGAAUGGGAGCUGGACGACACAAUUCAGCCCUUAAAGGCAUACAGGUGUUGUGUACAAAUCAUAUUCCAAAAUGUUUUGGAAAGUUUGAA
rnacentral:lncRNA from 1 species